UACGUAGGGACCGAGCGUUGUCCGGAAUCAUUGGGCGUAAAGAGCGUGUAGGCGGCCUGUUAAGUCUUGCGUGAAAUCUCGGGGCUCAACCCCGAGCGGUCGUGAGAAACUGGCAGGCUAGAGUGCGGGAGAGGAGAGUGGAAUUCCUGGUGUAGCGGUGAAAUGCGCAGAUAUCAGGAAGAACACCGGUGGCGAAGGCGGGUCUCUGGGCAGUAACUGACGCUGAGAAGCGAAAGCGUGGGGAGCGAACAGG
rnacentral:rRNA from 1 species